rnacentral:rRNA from 1 species
UACAGAGGGGGCAAGCGUUAUUCGGAAUUAUUGGGCGUAAAGGGCGCGUAGGCGGCUUUGCAAGUGACGGGUGAAAUCCCUCGGCUUAACCGAGGAACUGCCUGUCAGACUGCAUGGCUUGAGACCAGGAGAGGUGAGUGGAAUUCCCAGUGUAGCGGUGAAAUGCGUAGAUAUUGGGAGGAACACCAGUGGCGAAGGCGGCUCACUGGACUGGUACUGACGCUGAGGCGCGAAAGCGUGGGGAGCGAACGGG